UACGUAGGUCCCGAGCAUUGUCCGGAUUUAUUGGGCGUAAAGCGAGCGCAGGUGGUUUAUUAAGUCUGGUGUAAAAGGCAGUGGCUCAACCAUUGUAUGCAUUGGAAACUGGUAGACUUGAGUGCAGGAGAGGAGAGUGGAAUUCCAUGUGUAGCGGUGAAAUGCGUAGAUAUAUGGAGGAACACCGGUGGCGAAAGCGGCUCUCUGGCCUGUAACUGACACUGAGGCUCGAAAGCGUGGGGAACAAACAGG
rnacentral:rRNA from 1 species